rnacentral:miRNA from 1 species
AUAUUUUAUAUUAAAUUUUAAUAAUUUGACAGUUAAAUUAAAAUUUUUUAUGUAAAUAUCAAGUCUACAAAUUUUAAAAUAAUUAAAAAUUUGCUUUACAAAUUCA